rnacentral:rRNA from 1 species
CAGCAGCCACGGGAAUACAGAGGGUGCGAGCGUUAAUCGGAUUUACUGGGCGUAAAGCGUGCGUAGGCGGCUUUUUAAGUCGGAUGUGAAAUCCCUGAGCUUAACUUAGGAAUUGCAUUCGAUACUGGGAAGCUAGAGUAUGGGAGAGGAUGGUAGAAUUCCAGGUGUAGCGGUGAAAUGCGUAGAGAUCUGGAGGAAUACCGAUGGCGAAGGCAGCCAUCUGGCCUAAUACUGACGCUGAGGUACGAAAGCAUGGGGAGCAAACAGGAUUAGAUACCCCCGUAGUCCCUGUCUCUUAUCA